rnacentral:lncRNA from 1 species
GGCGAGCCUCCCAGGAUUCUCAAACAGAAGCAGCCUGCCAGGCUGAGCCAUCCAGAAGCCCAUAAGCUGGAACACUAAUGUGGCAAUGACCAAGUUUUAGCCGUAGAGAUGAGGCCAACACCCUGUGGAACACCGGAGCAAAGUAACAAGAUAGAGCAGAACUGAGUCCCCGAAUGACCUUGUGGAGCUGAGCUAUCCCAGCAGCCUCAACUGCCACCUACAUCCGCACCGUCACAGGAGAGAGAAAUACAAUUAUAUUUUAAGAUUGAUCUUAUAUAAAUCACUGUGUUUUUGACCCCCUCCCUCUUCCCUGAGCUCUGUUUCUUCCAUGAGGUUGAAGAAAAAUGCCGUCGUGGUCCCCUGCCUGCUUACUCAGCGUGUCAAGCAGGAGUUCUCAGCUCCAGUGUGCCAUGGAGGGCCUUGGGAAGAGGUCACAUACCAUUCCCAUCCCCAGGCACAGGAGCACUGAGGACCCUUCUUGACCUCCUGGAUCAGAAAGGCAGAGGAAAUGCUGGGCAGAAGUCAAGGUGUCAGUGGGCUGCCCUCCCUCCGGAGGCUCCAGGGGAGAAUCUAUUCCUCGCCUCUUCCAAUUGCUGGUGGCUGAUGGCACACCUUGGCUUGUGGCCACAAUACUCCAAUUUCUGCCUCCAUGGUCACACUGACUUCAUUUCUUCUGUGUGCAUCAAAUUUCUCUCUGCUCUGUGAUUGCAUUUAGGGCCCCUGGAUCAGCAAUGUCAUAAAAGACCCCAGUUCUU